rnacentral:misc_RNA from 1 species
GGGAAACCUUAAAAUUCAGUUUCAACCGCUAGCCCACCACUGCCUUUAUAUGUAUUGUUUGCCUCUAGAAACAGGUCCCAUAUUAGGAUUUCAUUCUUUUUCCAAAACUUUGGUACUUCAUCUCUUUUGGGUCUUCACUGUUUCAGGUUAUUACAAGUUGUACUAAUUUAAGCCCCAUUGAGUGGGAUGAUGGGCUUAGGUUAACUAGAGCAACUUGAAAGGGCAAAAUGAAAGAUGUGAGACAGAGUUCUCUAAUGGUGACCCAUUACUUGCAGGUAAAGGUGAAGAAAUUGUGUCAGAAACCACCAAGGUUUGAGAUCUUUGGAUGCAUCUGAAAGCAAGUUCAAGAUCAAUUCACAUCCAAUGAUGAAACAGUGAAGGCUUCUGCUAGGUUGUAUCAAAUGCUCUUUCACGUAAGACACAAGUAAAAUGGUAGUUUCUAAUGACCUGUAUACUCCAUACGACAAAUACCAAUAAAGCCAGUGUACAAGUUUUGAAGUUUCAUUUAAUAGGAUGAUUUAUAUAAUACAGAAUGGAAGUUUAAAUCUUGAUAUUAAACUAUUCCCUUUUAAACUUCUGACGUGCCUGAGUAAAAAAACAAGGACCCUUUCAGGAUUAAAGCAUAACGAUG